AGGUUUUGCUUUGGCAAGCCUUAAUAAAAGUAAGUUUCUAAGAAAUAUUUCCAUUGAAUAAAGUAUGGGCAAUACAAUUGUAAGACUACACAAAUUAUAAAAAGAUGUCUAUACCAAAAUUUUUUUCUCUAGUGUCUAAAUUCUCCAUCCAUUCUAAAAUAUAUUAAUUCAAAAUUAUUGUUGGGGUAGUUUAUACACAACAAGCAAUAGCAAUGGGAAAUUAUGCUUGAUGGGCACACAGGCAAAGAAAACUUUAUAUAAAUUAUACAUAUAUAUGCAUCUCUACAUUCAUAACAUUAUUUAUUACAUUCUCCACUGUAAUAAUAAUUGGCAGACAUGGCUGUUUUAUAAGGAUACAUCAGCUGAUAUCAGAGAGAAAACACCAGCUUCUUAGAAUUUCAGAGUUUGUUCAGAUUAUAAUCCAUGCAGUGGCCUUGGAAAGGACUUAGGUUCUUUAUAUCCUGUGCCUCCACCAAUAGUAACUUCUACAGUUGCUACUGAAGUAUAAGUUCGCACAUGGGAAAAAUUUUGCGGUCUGGACCUAGAGCAGACUCAAAUAUACUCCUGUCUUCAGAGCUCAGCCACAUGGCCAUACCUUGCUCAGGUGAAUCUGGGUAAGAUAAUCUCUCUGUGUCCGUCAUAAGAGCCACAACCACUACAUGUGUUAUUCAGAUAACACAUGUAGGAUAACUUCAGUUGUAUGUACAAACUCUGAGCCAGGCACUGUGGAGAGCACAUCUACAACCAAUACACAUUAUCUGCCCUCUAAAUUCUUAGUAGCUAUGGAACAGAACUUUUCAUAAGUCAGUGCUAAUGCAAGGCCAGAUUUAUUAGCUUAUACAGUAGAGGGAUAAAGACUCUCCUACAAGAAAGAGCUUUUUGCAAGGGGCAGUAUUUGAGCAGAGGUUGAAGCAUAAGCAGGAACUCAUCAUCAGCAGAGAUGGAGGUAAAAGCAUGAAAACCGGAAACUCUAAAAUGACCUGAGAUGAGAUUCUAUGAUAGGGCCAGAGAUAAAGAUGUCUAAAAGAUAUUCGUGGACUAUCACAUGCCAAGCCUUAAGCACACUAUUUAUAGCUCAGGAGUCAUUUCAAAAUCUGGAGCAUGUGCUUGAGAAAGAAAGCAGUGUUCGGAACAAGUAGAAUGGAAAGAAAUUAGGAAUGGGAGUAGUGUGGAGCAGCUUGAACUAAUGCAGUGGGAAUGGAAACGAGAGAGCAGGCAAAACAUUUGAGAAAGUCGAUUUGAAAAGGCAGAUUGUUUGUGUUGAUCUUCCUGAGUUUUACUCGGAUAAUUUUCCAAAUAGAAUUCCAAGCAUUCUAUUCAAAUGGUUAUUGAUUAUUAAAAUGGCACUGAAAUGAGAUAGC